rnacentral:lncRNA from 1 species
CAAAUUUACACAAUUCAUAUCAAAUUAAAAAUCACGUAUAUCGCUGUUGCUGUAAUUCCAACGGAAAGAUAGACAUCUGACAUAUAUGAUGCGCGCUGUUUUUAAAUGGAUAAAAAAAAAGCGGAGGAUUUAUUAAAAAAUAAAAACUUAAUUAUUCUCACUGAUUACGACAAUUAAGCGACAAUUAAGUCGCUAAGGAAAAAUUUUCUUUUUUCAAAAUUACAUGGAUGUUAUUUUCACUAUAUGCAUGCAGUAAUCAAGAAGUGGGUCUACGUAUUUCAACAGAGGAAUGGCAUGAAAUAAUUCCACCCAUAUCUUGGAGAGAGUUUCGUCCAUCCAGGGUGGUGUAAGGGUUAUUGUGGUCAACAUUAUCGAAAACAUAAUGACAAAAAGCACAAUCGUCAAUAUGAGUAUCUGAAUUCAUUAUCGCAGAAGCCUCAUACAAAAAUACACUUUAAUAAGAUAUGUACACAAACCUAAUUUGAAGAGAAGAUCGAUCAACAACUUCGAGGCUGUUUUUUGAUAGAUAUACGUUCCUAUCGCAAGAUGUAAAGACGAUGUAAAUGAAUUUGGCCGGCGGCAGCUGCGAUAAUAGCAUGAGACAUAAAAUCACAUUUUACUGCGGUACUGUUUUUAUUAUUUUGAUGUCUAGGCGAUACUACUUCAUUAAUAGAAAUUUGCAAUAAUUCUGGAAUUUCGUCUUGGACGUUCUGUAUGAAAUUCUGUGGUGAUGGGUAGUAAGAAAUUUCAUAAUUUUUACCUCGUAUUUCAGUCCUAAUAAAAUUUGCGGCUAACUUGACAAUCCGCUUACGUUCUUCAUCCACAUCAUGAAGAACACAUUCGAAGAUUCCAACAGAUGGUACCUAAUGUCACGCAUGCAGAUAAUAGGUUGCUUACCAACGUUUUGUUGAAUUAUGAUUUUGUCACCGUAAUGAUUAAUUAGUUUUUAUCAGAGUUUCAUUUUUCGAAAUGCAAUUCUCCAUAACUGCGUGUAAAUCUGAUAAUUGAAACCGAGUUUCAGUAGAAUUCUCCAUAAAUUCACAAACAUUUUAGAAAUAUUCAGCUAAAUCACAAUUUUGUGGUCUUUUUUUCAGAACGUUCAACCUGAUAAGUUGCUAAAACGUUAGACUAUUCCAAAGCUCGAAAGAAAAAUUUAGAAAAUUCAUAUACGUACCAGUAUAUGAUCACUCCAUGUAUUUGUAUAUCUAUAUUCACAAAUAUACUGGUACAUGAUCAUAUAUCGGGGCUUUUACCUUACAUAACAGGAAAUAAAUUGCUCGAGAAGGCAAAGAGAAUUUUUAAACAGCAAUAAAUAAAGAAGUAGAAUUUUGUAGUGGAAAUUAAUCAGAAUUAUACGUCAGUACUUAGUUUCCAUGGGUAUUUUUCCGCUAAUAGUAGCUCUUACGUAAGACAUAAAUUUACUACAAUUAAUUUACUUACCAUCCAUUAUAAAUGUCUUUUAUUUAUAUUUUUCAAUGUAUAAUUUUUAUCAUUAUAAGUUUUAUGAAACUUUUUAUUGUUUUUGACAGUUUUUUGAGAUUAUACAUACAAAAAUAUUAACUAAUAACAAAUGCAAAAUACUUUUCCUCCGUAAUUGAGACAGGAACCUAUCACGGAACUAAAAACUAAAAUAAAUUUAUAAAAAUUACUUUUACAAAAGAA